rnacentral:tRNA from 1 species
CCUUCGAUAGCUCAGCUGGUAGAGCGGAGGACUGUAGAAGAAAUCAGUAAUCCUUAGGUCGCUGGUUCGAUUCCGGCUCGAAGGA